AGAGUUUGCUUCUGGCUCAGGACGAACGCUGGCGGCGUGCCUAACACAUGCAAGUCGAACGGGGUACCUUCGGGUACUUAGUGGCGAACGGGUGAGUAACGCGUGAGGAACCUGCCUUCCAGUGGGGGACAACAGUUGGAAACGACUGCUAAUACCGCAUAACACAGUUGAACCGCAUGAUUUAACUGUCAAAGCUUUAUGUGCUGGAAGAUGGCCUCGCGUCUGAUUAGCUAGUUGGUGGGGUAACGGCCUACCAAGGCGACGAUCAGUAGCCGGUCUGAGAGGAUGAACGGCCACAUUGGGACUGAGAUACGGCCCAGACUCCUACGGGAGGCAGCAGUGGGGAAUAUUGGGCAAUGGGGGUAACCCUGACCCAGCAACGCCGCGUGAAGGAAGAAGGCCUUCGGGUUGUAAACUUCUUUUACCAGGGACGAAGAACGUGACGGUACCUGGAGAAAAAGCAACGGCUAACUACGUGCCAGCAGCCGCGGUAAUACGUAGGUUGCAAGCGUUGUCCGGAUUUACUGGGUGUAAAGGGCGUGUAGGCGGAGAUGCAAGUCAGGAGUGAAAUCCCGGGGCUCAACCCUGGAACUGCUUUUGAAACUGUAUCCCUUGAGUGUCGGAGAGGCAAGCGGAAUUCCUAGUGUAGCGGUGAAAUGCGUAGAUAUCACGCAGAACUCCGAUUGCGAAGGCAGCAUACCGGUGCUCAACUGACGCUGAGGCGCGAAAGCGUGGGGAGCAAACAGGAUUAGAUACCCUGGUAGUCCACGCUGUAAACGAUGAAUACUAGGUGUGGGAGGGACUGACCCCUUCCGUGCCGCAGUUAACCAACAAUUAAGUAAUUCCACUGGGGGGAGUAGGGCCCGCAGGGUGGAAAUUCAAAAGGAUUUGGGGGGGGGCCCCCACAAGCAGGGGGAUUAUGUGGUUUAAUUGGACGCAACGGGAAGACCCUUACCGGGUUUUGACAUCCACCUAACGAAGUAGAGAUACAUUAGGUGCCCUUCGGGGAAAGUUGAGACGGGUGGUGCAUGGUUGUCGUCAGCUCGUGUCGUGAGAUGUUGGGUUAAGUCCCGCAACGAGCGCAACCCCUAUUGUUAGUUGCUACGCAAGAGCACUCUAGCGAGACUGCCGUUGACAAAACGGAGGAAGGCGGGGACGACGUCAAAUCAUCAUGCCCCUUAUGUCCUGGGCUACACACGUAAUACAAUGGUGGUUAACAGAGGGAAGCAAAACAGCGAUGUGGAGCAAAUCCCUAAAAGCCAUCUCAGUUCGGAUUGCAGGCUGCAACUCGCCUGCAUGAAGCUGGAAUUGCUAGUAAUCGCGGAUCAGCAUGCCGCGGUGAAUACGAUCCCGGGCCUUGCACUCACCGCCCGUCA
rnacentral:rRNA from 1 species